UAUUAUCUCAAAUGCUUUUUUCUCACGCCUACCUUCAGCCUUCACAUCUUUUUUCCCACAAAUUUUACACAGCCAAGCUUGCCGUUACAUUUUUUUACCGUUCAGAAUUCUCCUUUCUCCCUUUCAGUUUUCCAUUCUCAUUCGCUAAUUAGUCUUUAUCGUUAAUCAAUUUCGUCAAUAAUCAGCGCCCAAUCAGCUCCAAUUAGAAGCCUAUAGUCAGUCCACACUUCCAUUCUCAUCACUGUUAAUGAUAUUAACCCGCGUGACUAUCAGUCUAUCAAUUAUCCCUGACAGAGCUAGGGUAGAAAGUUCGGGUGCGCGGCGAUAUUGACCGGCGUUACUAUUACUCAGCCGUCUCCUCCGACUCCCCACCCCUCCGCUCCCUCGCAGACGCCCUCAGUACAUUCCAGCAGAGAAUAAAUGCAGAUUAUGUGGAGGAAACCACUUUAUAAAUUCUAAAUGUAAGUUUUUUAGUUAUGGAGUCCCCUCUUUUACGUGCAAUCAAGGCUCGCUAAUUUGUAUGCAUGGAUGUGCUACUUAAGGUCAUCUUUGGUUAAUUGGCUCUCAAUUUUUGAGGAGUAACAUAGAUGAGUGGUGGAGAUCUGGGAGCAUCUGCCUUCCCUGACAGGGGGAGCAUAUUUACGUGGACUUGCAGAAUUUAAGGCGGCAAAGGAACCAUGACGAUUCUUUUGCUUCAUCCCAACUUUUAUGACUUUAAUUUUGUUGUUGCGGGAUAAGUGGUGUUCAGCAUAUGAUUGCAGAAUGAUUCUCUUGUCCAUCCAGAGCCUAUUAGGAGGUCAGAUGGCGUUGUCUCACUCUUUCUGCUAGCUCUUUUGUAUGUAUUUAUGAGCUAUUAGGAGCUCUUUUUUCUCACUAUUAGGAGCUCUUUUGUAUGUAUUUAUGUAAUAGUUUUUCUUAUGCUCGCGUUGUAAUGAGCAGAACCCAAUACUCAGAGCCCUCUCAAUGUGUCUGCUGCUUUGCUCUGGAAGAACCAGGAAGGUUCGUAGAAUUUGCAUUUUUGUUCUUGAACUCGAUCCAAUGGUGCGUAGUAUUGGAAAACGUGGUUUUUACAAAUUCUGAUUGCGGAGUACAGAAAAGCAGUGCGCAAAUAUUACAUGGAUACUGGAUAUUCAUUAGAUAACUGAUCAAAACAGCAGUAAUAAACUUCAAGAAGGAAGACCAUCUGAUCUAUCUAUGGAAAUAUUAGGCUUGGACAGUUAUUUCUUUCACUGAAAAAAUUAAGCUGUGUUAUGUUCAUCAAAAUGUAAUCAAACCAUGAUUAUGUUUGUGGUAUCUGGUCAUGUUUGGAUUUGUUUAAAAAGCUUCUAGCUUUAUAACUUCAUCUAAAAUUUCUU